ACUCCCGCUCACUCCCUAACCUUCUUUUGCUUAUUCUUCCUCUCUCUGAGAAAAAUUAAAGAGCUGUGUUAGCUUAGCAUUGAGCUGUGAUAUUUUACCAAAUACUCAUUUGAGCUAUUAUACUUUUUGGUAACUUUAUUGCUUUGAAGGAGAAUAUCAUUUCUUUCCUUUUUUUGGGUUUGAGUGGAAUUUUGUUUUAGCAAAAUUGAAUCUUUUGGAUCGCCCAUGUCGCAGGAUGAGCUAGAAAGCAUGAAUUUUCGAGAACAUAUGACUUUAUCAGAUGUUUUUAUGGAGCAUGGCAAGAUGGGAGACUUUCUUGAUCGGCUAAGAAGUUCGGCAAAAGAUGAGUUCAAGAAGCUGAGGAAGAGUAUACAGGAGAAAGAAUCUGGAAUUUGGGUUCAGUUGGACAACACAGUAAAUUACUUGAAAAUGAUGGUGGAUACCGUCUUUAAACAAAUGGAUGAUAUGCUACAGUUGUCCAAGACAUCACUUGGUCAGUGGCAGGAGGAGCAUAUUACCCAAGUGGAGAUUGAGGCCAUGGUAAUGCGUAGUGUAAUUCGGACUGUGCAAGAAGACUUUGAGUUCAAAUUGUGGGACCAGUAUGCUAAAUUGUGUGGUGACCGAAAUGAGAAGUUGAAUGACAUCUCUAGUUUACGGACGGAGUUGGAUGCUGUUUUGAAGUCAUUGUCAAGUUCAGAAACAGGGUAUAUGACUUCCCAUGGAUCGCAUGAUGCAGAUGUCUUUACACGCAAGACAUCAAGUGAACAUGUGACUUCUUCAAAUCGGGAUGGAAAUGAAAAGAUGGAGGAUUCCAAGACUGAUAUACCUGAGAACUUUGAUGCUGCCACGUUGAAGCACAUGUCAGAAGAGGAAAUGGUGACCUAUUUUAGUAAUAUAAUGACAAAAAUGAAGAGACACCAUGAGUCCAUUCUGCAAAAGAAAACCGAUGAAUAUUUUCAUCGAAGAGCAGAUUAUCUAAAGCUUAGAGGAGGAUCUGUUGUGCCACAAAAGAAGGAUAAGGGUGAAUCUGACAUUCUAAGGAAGAAGAUCCCAGAAAUUAUAUUCAGAUUGGAUGAUAUCCUUGUAGAGAAUGAAAAACAUCCUGCAUCUACCCCGGAGACUCUAAGUUUCGGUAACUUGAAGGAUAGGCUUGAUAGCCUUCUUUCUGAAAAUCACCAGCUUAGAGACUUGCUUAAAGAUACGCAAGUUGAAGUUAAGUCCCUCUUGUUCCAAGUUUCGGAUGCCAAUGAGAAGAGGCUUGAUAGCCUUCUUUCUGAAAAUCACCUGCUUAGAGACUUGCUUAAAGAUAUGCAAGUUGAAGUUAAGUCCCUUUUGUCCCAAGUUUCGGAUGCCAAUGAGAAGAGGCUUGAUAGCCUUCUUUCUGAAAAUCACCAGCUUAGAGACUUGCUUAAAGAUAUGCAACUUGAAGUUAAGUCCCUUUUGCCCCAAGUUUCGGACGCCAAUGAGAAGAGGCUUGAUAGCCUUCUUUCUGAAAAUCACCAGCGUAGAGACUUGCUUAAAGAUGAGCGAGGUGAAGAUAAGUCCCUUUUGUCCCAAGUUUCGGAUGCCAAUGAGAAGACGCUGCAACAUUCUUUGGCGGAAGCAGACAUGCUAAAACAGAUAGGAGAUCUCAAUUUAGCCAUGGAAGACUCACUGAUAGAAGCUUCUGUAAGGGAAGAAGUGUAUACUUGUUUUCUAAGGGAUCUUAGUGGGGGGACAAGAAAUGAAGUUGAGGAAUUAAACUUGGGAUUUGAUAAGCAUAAUGAUAGUAAUGAUACUGAUGCUGAAAUUACAAAAUUUGAAAUUGAAGAUUUAGAGAUAGAGUGCCUCAUUAUGCAAGAAAUUUGUGGAGUGAUUUCCGGCGAAGGCAUCAAGGAGGCUAAAGACAUGCUUAAUGAACUGUAUCCGGAGUAUUUGAAUGAAAAACACAUUCGUAUUUCUCUCGAAACAAAAGUUAUUGAGAUGGAAAACAAAUUAAAAUUCGAGGUUGAAGAGAAGGACAGACUGAAGCAACUGGUUUCUGAGCUGGAAAUACGUGUGACUGAAAAGGAGAAUUUAGCAACAGAGGCAUCAGCUGCUCUAGCAAAACAGAUGGGUCAGUUUGAGCAGGUGCAUCAAGAGUUAGAUGCUGUGAAAGAAUUUGCAAAUCAACAACAAACAUUAGCUUCUGGGUGCUACAAAGAAGUAAAUGUGGUAAAGGGCCAGUUGGCAGAAGCAUUUGCGCAAAUUGAAGUAUUGGAAGAGGAGGCAGCCCAAAUAAAUAAAAGUCUUGAGGAGAAAGAGGAGGAGUUAAAAGAAGCUAAUCACAGGGAAAAUAAGGCCUGUGCUAUUUCUGAAGAGAGGCAAACUCUUUUGUACUCGCUUGAAGCAAAAGAAAUGGAGUUAAGGAAGCAGGUGGAAACAAUAAUUGGUAAUAUACAUAAAUCGUCAAAGAUGCUUGCUGAUUUUGAGUGCACAGUGACAGGAAGUUUGAGAACAAAUAAUACAAGGCUUGAGCACUCCAAUUCUCAAUUGGAUUCUCUUGUUAAGAAGGCCAAUUUGCUGAGAAGAACAAUGCAACUGAACCAACAAAGGCUUGAAAAAAAAUGCUCAGACCUUCAAUUGGCCGAGGCUGAGGUUGAUCUUUUGGGAGAUGAGGUGGAUACACUUUUAAGCCUACAUGAGAAGAUUUACAUAGCACUUGAUCAUUACUCGCCAGUUUUACAGCAUUAUCCUGGGAUUAUGGAGAUUCUUAAGGUGAUCAAAAAGGAAUUAACUGGAGAGUCUACCAAGCUAGUAAAAUCAUCUCCUGCUUGAGUUGGAACAAUAUAGAGAAUACAUUGAAUAUUUGGAGGAGGAAAUGAACUACUUUCACCGGGUAAAUUGGUAAACACCACAAAAAACAGAAGUAUACAAAUAACAGAUAAUAGACAGUUCCUGGAUUUUUGUGUUCCUCCAUCCUGGCUAGUACCAUUUUGAAGUUCAACACGAAGCUAGAAAAACAUAUUUUAGUUAGCGUGACAGACGUGUAGUAUUAAUUUGUAGCAACUUAAAAUAGGGAAAAGUUUUCGAAGUUCAACUGACCUGGCUUGUAGAGGGGGAUCCUAGUUGUUCUGUAUAUUUUGUAUCAUCAAGCAGGGAAAACCCAAGAACUAUAGUUGCAGCUGUGAAAUUUUAGGUAAUUUAGGUACAUUUGUCAGCUUUCUUGUAUGUAACGAAGCAAAAUGUAUGGACUACUUUGGCUAGUUUUAAUUUUACGGAAGUCCAUGUGUUUGUCAUCUUUU